UUCUGAAGAGGAUGAUGAAUUGUGCAAAAUGCCAUCGAAGAAUGAAACUUUUAAAAUGCGAUCGCAACGAUGGGCUGCGUUGGGUAUGUAAGCAUCACAAAAGCAACCCAUUGUCAGUGCGUAAUGGGUCCAUAUUCACAAAGUCUCACACCCCUUUGGCAAAAUGGCUUGAGUUCAUGUUAAGGUUUUCACAAGGUUUGCAACUGAAACAACUAACCAUGAUCUCAGAGGGAAUAGCAGCAAGUUCCAAGACACUCACAAGAAUGACAACAAUUCUAAGAAAGGUUUUUGCAU